GACGAACGCUGGCGGCGUGCUUAACACAUGCAAGUCGAACGGUAAGGCCCUUCGGGGUACACGAGUGGCGAACGGGUGAGUAACACGUGGGUGAUCUGCCCUGCACUUCGGGAUAAGCCUGGGAAACUGGGUCUAAUACCGGAUAGGACCACUGCCUGCAUGGGUGGUGGUGGAAAGCUUUUGCGGUGUGGGAUGGGCCCGCGGCCUAUCAGCUUGUUGGUGGGGUGAUGGCCUACCAAGGCGACGACGGGUAGCCGGCCUGGGAGGGUGACCGGCCACACGGGGACUGAGAUACGGCCCAGACGCCUACGGGAGGCAGCAGUGGGGAAUAUUGCACAAUGGGCGCAAGGCUGAUGCAGCGACGCCGCGUGAGGGAUGACGGCCUUCGGGUUGUAAACCUCUUUCAGCACCGACGAAGCGCAAGUGACGGUAGGUGCAGAAGAAGGACCGGCCAACUACGUGCCAGCCGCCGCGGUAA
rnacentral:rRNA from 1 species